CAGCCGCCGCGGUAAUACCGGCGGCCCGAGUGGCGGUCACUAUUAUUGGGCUUAAAGCGUCCGUAGCCGGGUUGGUUAGUCUCCCGGGAAAUCUGGCCGCUUAACGGUCAGAAUUCCGGGAGAUACUGCCAGCCUAGGGACCGGGAGAGGCCGAGGGGAUUCCCGGAGUAGGGGUGAAAUCCUAUAAUCCCGGGAGGACCACCUGUGGCGAAGGCGCUCGGCUGGAACGGGUCCGACGGUGAGGGACGAAGGCCAGGGGAGCAAACCGGAUUAGAUACCCGGGUAGUCCUGGCUGUAAACGAUGCGGACUUUGUGUCGGACAAGCUAUGAGCUUGUCCGGUGCCGGAGGGAAACCGUUAAGUCCGCCGCCUGGGGAGUACGGCCGCAAGGCUGAAACUUAAAGGAAUUGGCAGG
rnacentral:rRNA from 1 species